rnacentral:rRNA from 1 species
CAGCAGGGUUGUAGCAAUACAAUCGCUGGCGACCGGCAAACGGGUGCGGAACACGUACGCAACCUUCCUUUAAGUGGAGGAUAGCCCGGGGAAACCCGGAUUAAUACUCCGUAACAUUAUGAAGUGGCAUCAUUUUAUAAUUAUAGCUCCGGCGCUUAAAGAUGGGCGUGCGUCUGAUUAGGUAGUUGGCGGGGUAACGGCCCACCAAGCCUACGAUCAGUAACUGGUGUGAGAGCACGACCAGUCACACGGGCACUGAGACACGGGCCCGACUCCUACGGGAGGCAGCAGUAAGGAAUAUUGGUCAAUGGACGCAAGUCUGAACCAGCCAUGCCGCGUGGAGGAUGAAGGUCCUCUGGAUUGUAAACUUCUUUUAUCUGGGAAGAAACCCACGGUUUCUACUGUGGUUGACGGUACCAGAUGAAUAAGCACCGGCUAACUCCGUGCCAGCAGCCGCGGUAAUACGGAGGGUGCAAGCGUUAUCCGGAUUCACUGGGUUUAAAGGGUGCGUAGGCGGGCAGGUAAGUCAGUGGUGAAAUCUCCGGGCUUAACCCGGAAACUGCCGUUGAUACUAUCUGUCUUGAAUAUCGUGGAGGUGAGCGGAAUAUGUCAUGUAGCGGUGAAAUGCUUAGAUAUGACAUAGAACACCAAUUGCGAAGGCAGCUCGCUACACGGUUAUUGACGCUGAGGCACGAAAGCGUGGGGAUCAAACAGGAUUAGAUACCCUGGUAGUCCACGCCCUAAACGAUGAUUACUCGACAUCAGCGAUACACUGUUGGUGUCUGAGCGAAAGCAUUAAGUAAUCCACCUGGGAAGUACGA